GUGUGGCGUCUCUCUGAACCCCCCGACCAUCCGAGCUUCCAGACUUCUCCGACAAUGAGUUUCUCCAUCCAUCUACCGUGCCGCUCCAAAGGCUCUCUAGGCCUCACCGUUAGCCGACCUUCUAUAGUGACCAACUAUUCUCCGAACUCCUUCUGGACUCUGUCGAUAUCCGAACUUCUUCGACAAUGAGGUUUCUAUAGAGAUCAGACUCCAUCCGAGUUUCUACGG
rnacentral:lncRNA from 1 species